rnacentral:sRNA from 1 species
GCUGGGUGUAGUGGUGCAUGCCUGUAAUCCCAGAGGCUCGGGAGGCUGAGGCAGGAGGAUCACGAGUUCAAAGCCAGCCUCAGCAACUUAGCAAGGUCCUAAGCAACUCAGCGAGACCCUGUCUCUU